AUUGAACGCUGGCGGCAGGCUUAACACAUGCAAGUCGAGCGGGGUGAUGGUGCUUGCACCUUAUCUUAGCGGCGGACGGGUGAGUAAUGCUUAGGAAUCUGCCUAUUAGUGGGGAACGACAUUCCGAAAGGAAUGCUAAUACCGCAUACGUCCUACGGGAGAAAGCAGGGGAUCUUCGGACCUUGCGCUAAUAGAUGAGCCUAAGUCGGAUUAGCUAGUUGGUGGGGUAAAGGCCUACCAAGGCGACGAUCUGUAGCGGGUCUGAGAGGAUGAUCCGCCACACUGGGACUGAGACACGGCCCAGACUCCUACGGGAGGCAGCAGUGGGGAAUAUUGGACAAUGGGGGGAACCCUGAUCCAGCCAUGCCGCGUGUGUGAAGAAGGCCUUAUGGUCGUAAAGCACUUUAAGCGAGGAGGAGGCUCUUUUGGUUAAUACCCAAGAUGAGUGGACGUUACUCGCAGAAUAAGCACCGGCUAACUCUGUGCCAGCCGCCGCAGUAA
rnacentral:rRNA from 1 species